UCAUAAAUAACAGCAAUCUUACAGUACCAGUUCAAAGCACCAGAGCUUCAAACGAGGAAUAUUCUUGGAAUAAAGAAUACGAGGAUAUUUUCUACCAUAGUCAGCGAUGAAGACACUCUGCAUUCUUUUGAUUCUGAUGGUUUGUUAUAAAUCUGGCAAAAUGGAGCAAAUGAUAAAUUCAAUUUCGGAAACGACAGUAACUAAGGUUUCCGGAAAAAUAAUGUGUGGAUAUGUAAACCGUAAACGAUUCUAUUGCAAAGAAAAAGAUACAUGCUGUGAAUUUAUUCCAAGAAUACCACAACGCUAUUAUUGCUGUCCUUUACGUCACGGAGUAUGCUGUUAUAACGGCAACUGUUGUCCAUUUGGUAACAUUUGCCACAACCCUUUCAUAUGUUCGCCUAUCAUAAACACGACCAAAAACUACGUAAAAUGAAAGCUUUUUCUCAUCCAUAAUACUUUUUAUGAUUAAAUUUUUAAAUAAUUGUAAAAUCUUAUGAGUUGUGAGAAGUACAAAUGUAUGAAUACCAACAUCUGAUGAAUAAAACUAUUUCCGUAUUUGAGGAAAA